CAGGCAGAAAAGAUAGCAUCGCAAAUGAUAACAGAAGGACGUAUGAAUGGAUUUAUUGAUCAGAUUGAUGGAAUAGUUCAUUUUGAAACACGAGAAGCCCUGCCAACAUGGGACAAACAGAUCCAAUCGCUUUGUUUCCAAGUGAAUAACCUUUUGGAGAAAAUCAGUCAGACAGCACCAGAAUGGACAGCACAAGCCAUGGAAGCCCAGAUGGCUCAGUGAAUCCUUGCAGACCUUCUGUUCACAUUACAUCUUUUUCCAUGUUGUACAGAUUAAUUUCACUAUCUCUCAAAAGCGUUUGCAUCAUGACCUUAUAUAUUUCCAUCCCUUUUAUGCUGGAUUCAAUUUAAAGAAGACACUAUUAGAACAGGAAGUACAAGCAUUUAAAAAUAUGUAGUUCCCAUUUAUUCAGGGUCUCUGUAUCAGGCUAACUCAGAUGUUUUGAAAGCUUUUUCUUUAAACAGAGUAGGUGAAGUAUCUGUGGCUAAAAAGUUUGGGAUUUGUGAUAACUUUGUAGUUAUGUAAAACUUAAGUGCUUGGUGCCUCUCCACAUGUGGUUAUCUAAUAAAUGGAGAAGUGAGCCAAAUAAAAGUAGUACUUUGUUUUUAAUUAGUGAC